AUUGAACGCUGGCGGCAGGCCUAACACAUGCAAGUCGAGCGAGCGGCGGACGGGUGAGUAAUGUCUGGGAAUCUGCCCGAUAGAGGGGGAUAACUACUGGAAACGGUAGCUAAUACCGCAUACCAUCUGAUGAACCCAUAUGGGAUUAGCUAGUAGGUGGGGUAAUGGCUCACCUAGGCGACGAUCCCUAGCUGGUCUGAGAGGAUGAUCAGCCACACUGGGACUGAGACACGGCCCAGAAUCCUACGGGAGGCAGCAGUGGGGAAUAUUGCACAAUGGGCGAAAGCCUGAUGCAGCCAUGCCGCGUGUAUGAAGAAGGCCUUAGGGUUGUAAAGUACUUUCAGCGAGGAGGCGUUACUCACAGAAGAAGCACCGGCUAACUCCGUGCCAGCAGCCGCGGUAAUUC
rnacentral:rRNA from 1 species